rnacentral:rRNA from 1 species
UACGUAGGGGGCAAGCGUUAUCCGGAUUUACUGGGUGUAAAGGGAGCGUAGACGGCAGUGCAAGUCUGGAGUGAAAGGCGGGGGCUCAACCCCCGGACUGCUCUGGAAACUGUACGGCUGGAGUGCAGGAGAGGUAAGUGGAAUUCCUAGUGUAGCGGUGAAAUGCGUAGAUAUUAGGAGGAACACCAGUGGCGAAGGCGGCUUACCGGACUGUAACUGACGUUGAGGCUCGAAAGCGUGGGGAGCAAACAGG